rnacentral:rRNA from 1 species
UUAAGCGACUAAGCGUACACGGUGGAUGCCCUGGCAGUCAGAGGCGAUGAAGGACGUGCUAAUCUGCGAAAAGCGUCGGUAAGGUGAUAUGAACCGUUACAGCCGGCGAUGUCCGAAUGGGGAAACCCAGUGUGAUUCGUCACACUAUCGUUAACUGAAUACAUAGGUUAACGAGGCGAACCGGGGGAACUGAAACAUCUAAGUACCCCGAGGAAAAGAAAUCAACCGAGAUUCCCCCAGUAGCGGCGAGCGAACGGGGAGCAGCCCAGAGUCUGAAUCAGCUUGUGUGUUAGUGGAACGGUCUGGAAAGUCCGACGGUACAGGGUGAUAGUCCCGUACACCAAAAUGCACAGGCUGUGAACUCGAAGAGUAGGGCGGGACACGUGGUAUCCUGUCUGAAUAUGGGGGGACCAUCCUCCAAGGCUAAAUACUCCUGACUGACCGAUAGUGAACCAGUACCGUGAGGGAAAGGCGAAAAGAACCCCGGCGAGGGGAGUGAAAAAGAACCUGAAACCGUGUACGUACAAGCAGUGGGAGCACCUUCGGGUGUGACUGCGUACCUUUUGUAUAAUGGGUCAGCGACUUAUAUUCUGUAGCAAGGUUAACCGUAUAGGGGAGCCGCAGGGAAACCGAGUCUUAACUGGGCGUUAAGUUGCAGGGUAUAGACCCGAAACCCGGUGAUCUAGCCAUGGGCAGGUUGAAGGUUGGGUAACACUAACUGGAGGACCGAACCGACUAAUGUUGAAAAAUUAGCGGAUGACUUGUGGCUGGGGGUGAAAGGCCAAUCAAACCGGGAGAUAGCUGGUUCUCCCCGAAAGCUAUUUAGGUAGCGCCUCGUGAACUCAUCUUCGGGGGUAGAGCACUGUUUCGGCUAGGGGGUCAUCCCGACUUACCAACCCGAUGCAAACUACGAAUACCGAAGAAUGUUAUCACGGGAGACACACGGCGGGUGCUAACGUCCGUCGUGAAGAGGGAAACAACCCAGACCGCCAGCUAAGGUCCCAAAGUCAUGGUUAAGUGGGAAACGAUGUGGGAAGGCACAGACAGCCAGGAUGUUGGCUUAGAAGCAGCCAUCAUUUAAAGAAAGCGUAAUAGCUCACUGGUCGAGUCGGCCUGCGCGGAAGAUGUAACGGGGCUAAACCAUGCACCGAAGCUGCGGCAGCGACACUAUGUGUUGUUGGGUAGGGGAGCGUUCUGUAAGCCUGCGAAGGUGUGCUGUGAGGCAUGCUGGAGGUAUCAGAAGUGCGAAUGCUGACAUAAGUAACGAUAAAGCGGGUGAAAAGCCCGCUCGCCGGAAGACCAAGGGUUCCUGUCCAACGUUAAUCGGGGCAGGGUGAGUCGACCCCUAAGGCGAGGCCGAAAGGCGUAGUCGAUGGGAAACAGGUUAAUAUUCCUGUACUUGGUGUUACUGCGAAGGGGGGACGGAGAAGGCUAUGUUAGCCGGGCGACGGUUGUCCCGGUUUAAGCAUGUAGGCUGAUUGUCCAGGCAAAUCCGGAUAAUCAAGGCUGAGGUGUGAUGACGAGGCACUACGGUGCUGAAGUAACAAAUGCCCUGCUUCCAGGAAAAGCCUCUAAGCAUCAGGUAACAUCAAAUCGUACCCCAAACCGACACAGGUGGUCAGGUAGAGAAUACCAAGGCGCUUGAGAGAACUCGGGUGAAGGAACUAGGCAAAAUGGUGCCGUAACUUCGGGAGAAGGCACGCUGGUGUGUAGGUGAAGUCCCUGCGGAUGGAGCUGAGACCAGUCGAAGAUACCAGCUGGCUGCAACUGUUUAUUAAAAACACAGCACUGUGCAAACACGAAAGUGGACGUAUACGGUGUGACGCCUGCCCGGUGCCGGAAGGUUAAUUGAUGGGGUUAUCCGUAAGGAGAAGCUCUUGAUCGAAGCCCCGGUAAACGGCGGCCGUAACUAUAACGGUCCUAAGGUAGCGAAAUUCCUUGUCGGGUAAGUUCCGACCUGCACGAAUGGCGUAAUGAUGGCCAGGCUGUCUCCACCCGAGACUCAGUGAAAUUGAACUCGCUGUGAAGAUGCAGUGUACCCGCGGCAAGACGGAAAGACCCCGUGAACCUUUACUAUAGCUUGACACUGAACAUUGAGCCUUGAUGUGUAGGAUAGGUGGGAGGCUUUGAAGCGUGGACGCCAGUCUGCGUGGAGCCAACCUUGAAAUACCACCCUUUAAUGUUUGAUGUUCUAACGUUGGCCCCUUACCGGGGUUGCGGACAGUGUCUGGUGGGUAGUUUGACUGGGGCGGUCUCCUCCCAAAGCGUAACGGAGGAGCACGAAGGUUAGCUAAUCCUGGUCGGACAUCAGGAGGUUAGUGCAAUGGCAUAAGCUAGCUUGACUGCGAGCGUGACGGCGCGAGCAGGUGCGAAAGCAGGUCAUAGUGAUCCGGUGGUUCUGAAUGGAAGGGCCAUCGCUCAACGGAUAAAAGGUACUCCGGGGAUAACAGGCUGAUACCGCCCAAGAGUUCAUAUCGACGGCGGUGUUUGGCACCUCGAUGUCGGCUCAUCACAUCCUGGGGCUGAAGUAGGUCCCAAGGGUAUGGCUGUUCGCCAUUUAAAGUGGUACGCGAGCUGGGUUUAGAACGUCGUGAGACAGUUCGGUCCCUAUCUGCCGUGGGCGCUGGAGAAUUGAGGGGGGCUGCUCCUAGUACGAGAGGACCGGAGUGGACGCAUCACUGGUGUUCGGGUUGUCAUGCCAAUGGCACUGCCCGGUAGCUAAAUGCGGAAGAGAUAAGUGCUGAAAGCAUCUAAGCACGAAACUUGCCCCGAGAUGAGUUCUCCCUGAGACUUUAAGUCUCCUGAAGGAACGUUGAAGACGACGACGUUGAUAGGCCGGGUGUGUAAGCGCAGCGAUGCGUUGAGCUAACCGGUACUAAUGAACCGUGAGGCUUAACCUU